rnacentral:rRNA from 1 species
UACGGAGGGUGCAAGCGUUAUCCGGAUUCACUGGGUUUAAAGGGUGCGUAGGCGGGUAGGUAAGUCAGUGGUGAAAUCUUCGAGCUUAACUCGGCAACUGCCUUUGAUACUAUCUAUCUUGAAUAUUGUGGAGGUAAGCGGAAUAUGUCAUGUAGCGGUGAAAUGCUUAGAUAUGACAUAGAACACCUAUUGCGAAGGCAACUUACUACGCAUAUAUUGACGCUGAGGCACGAAAGCGUGGGGAUCAAACAGG